rnacentral:lncRNA from 1 species
AGGUUAUCAUCCUCUGCCAGGAAUGUGGCUCUGGAGUGGGACUAGCACUGCACAGUGCCAGUGAGCAAAGGAGAAGGGGUUUUUUAUGAGAAUGGCAAUAGCUUGUAGGUUGCCAGCAGCGAUCUAGAGUCAAGAUCACUCUUUUUGUGUACCUGUGAAAUCCUGCAGAAUUAAGACUUAAGGCUGCAUCUGGACUGCAGUUGGGUCAAAGGAUCCCAGAGCUCAUCACUGCAGCUGGGUUGGCUUUAAAUUCCAUAUUUUGGGUGCCAGGUGCACUUAUGUCGUCACACAAAGGAGUGGCCGUGUUGUUCAGUGGACAUGGGCCCUGCUCUUGGUGAACACUCCCACUACAAGCCCUCCUCAGCCUGAGUUUGGAGAGGGACAAUGAAUAUACAGGAGGGGAGGAGAGAAGAAAGGUGCAGUUGAUGCCUCAGUACAUGGGGCCAAAGCUUUCCUUCCUCCAGGUUGCCUGACUUAGUUACGGAUGCAGUCUGGUGUGCAUUCCAGUUGGAGACAGACAUCCAAAAAAGUCCCAUGCCCAGCUCUUCCUCAGUGCAAUGUUGAGACUGAGGGCCCAAGCAGCAGCCAGGCUAGCAGCCAGAAAUAUGGACAAAAGGCAGCUGCUGCUUUCUGGGGAGGAAGAGAGAGGAGUGAAUGCAUGGCAGCUGUUUGGUAAUGGGUAGCCUGAGAAAUUCCCAUCACAGUUCUGAUCUGCUCAGGUGGACCUGUGUUCUUUCCCAGCCUGUGAAGGGAGAAAAAAUGUCUAGCAGACAAAAAAUAAAUUAUUUCAGAAACUCU